UCUCAAAUUAGCUUAGGCAUAAUUGUGUGUUUUCUUGCAAAUAAUAAAGCAAAUAGGUGUUUUAGACAAGCUCAUUAGUCAAUAAUAAGGCCUUUCAGAGAUGUACACAGGAGACUUGCUGGAUGUGGAUGAGCAUCUCUAAGAAUUCCGGAUUCUGUGUCUCUGCUCCGUGAAUUCAUUAAAGAUCCCUUGACAGUGUUCGGAGAGUGGGAGUUUGCCCUUUUGUCCUUGAACCGGCUUCACCUGAGAGCUCAGCUCUUUCGUGUGAAUUGAAAACGGCAAUUCUUUAUUCAGUGCACUGCAAAUGACUGGCAAUCUAUUGCAGGAGAAGAUUUUCAAUCUGUCUGCAACUAGCUGCCAAAACUUUUGGAUGAAUAGAGAAGAAUGCAGUCAAUCACCCAGAUGUUCCUUCUGCGGGAGGCCAUGCACCCAGCUAUUUGGAAACAGCGAGGUGCCUGGAACAUGAAGACGGCACAUCUGGAAUGUAUGUGUGUAUAUGCGUGUGUGUGUGUGUGUGUGUGUGUGUGUGUACUAACUUUUUAAGGAGAUAUUUUGAUGUCAUGUUGAAACAAUUAUUACCCCUCUUGAAGUACCCAACUCUGAGAUAAAGUGUGCACAAUUGUAGUUUAGAGGAGCAUUUAAGUGUAGUUCACAUUAUGUGUUGGUUGUGUGACUAAAUGUUGGUAAUUGUAUCUCAGGACAUCCAUAAAUGCUAAUUAUCUAUUGCUCAACCCUAUUCGAAUAUUGAAUAUUGAACACUUAAUCUCUGCUAUGGUUAAUUUAACAAUAUACUCACCUCCAGUUUUUCUUGACUCCCGCUCUCUCCAUCCCAACUUCUAAAACUUUAUCAAGGUUAUCUAGUUCUGAGUGAAUUCAAAUGACUGAUAAAGGUAAUAAAAUACCUAGUUUCUCUCUAGUAACUGAGUAGAUGUGAAUUAAAAUAACAAGAUCCAUUGUAGGGAUUUUAAACAGAAGGCAGAUAUAGUUAAAAUGCUUUUUAAAGGCUUAGCUCAAGAUGUAAAACAGAUCUGAGAUUUUUAAAAACAUGAACAAAGUAUGGUGAUUUGGUACAGGGAAUUAUUAUAAAAAUAUUGUUGUAGUGAGAUGCUGAAAGCUGGUAUUGCAGUCCUAAUCUUCGAUGCAUUUUAUAAGAGUCUCAGUCUUGGAUGCACAGAGGUAAUGGUGGGAUAUGAAGAAAGAAAACAGGAUCAGGGAAUAAGAAAGGUGGACUCUUACCCAACCAUGGAAUAAAAGAAGGUAGGUAGAAGGGUGUUUAUUCCGUGUGGGGAAUAGGGUGAAAUGUGCUCACUCCAUACUGCAGAGUCUGUUAAAAUAUCUGUGGUGGAGAGGGGACUUGACUAGGAGUCAGGGUGAUUGGGAGUCAGUUAAUGUACUGUAGACCCUUGGGCAAAAUAACUGAGAUCUAUUAAUAAGUAUCAGCAGUCUUUCUAACCUACCCACACUCCUAAACUGUAUUUACAUUGGGGCUUAAAGUUUUUUGUUUUACAGCUGGCACUAGAAUUGCACUUAAAAAUGAUGUAGUUAUUUAGGAAAGUACCUCAGUAAGACUCAGAGAAAAAGGUGAGAUCUUACUGAAUCUAUAGAAACAUAAGCCACAAUAAUAGAGUUGCAUUACUCUAAGUUAGAAAGAAACAGAAAUUAGGACAGUAGAGGAAAGAUAGGAGAAGAAAGGAGACAGGAGUCAGUGAGAAGAUGCAGAGCAAAAGCAUCACAGGUGAAGUGGUCAGUGGAAAAGAGUCCCUGUGGAAUGGGGUAAAACAGAUUUAAGAGCAAGACUACUUGAAAGGCUAAUAUUCAUUUUGAACUCGUUUGCAAUUUUGUGAUGUAAGAUUCCUUUCUCUUCCCCCCUCAAAUAUUAAUAAUAUCUAAUAGGUUUUUAGGGUGAACUGAGAAAGGGGCUUAGCUUUAUACACCAGUUAAUGUGGUAUAGAACAGAGUGUGUGUACCUGAGAAGGUGAGAAGUAAGACCUCUAAGCAAGAGGUCAUCAGGAUUGUAUAUCCCACUCACCGUCAUAUUCCCUAGAAUUUGGAGAAAAACUGGUGAAGGCUUUGGAUUUCCAAAGGACAUUAAAUACACCGUGAAUUAUUUAGAUAAGUUCUACAUAAAGAUUUUCAAGGUCAGGGAGCCAUGAGCUGACGUCUAGACUAUCCUGAAGGUCUGGACCCUACUUUCUUCCUGUUAUAAUAAAAAUGUUUUUUCUCCUUUAAGGAAUGGAUUUAAUGCAACAGCUGAGCACUAUGAUAAAUCAUCUGAAACUAGCGUGGGCCAUCUGGCUGUCAUGAAUAGUCUUAAAUAAAUUGAACCCAAAGUAAGAAAUAUAAAAAGACAGUAGGUUCCAUCUUAGUUGAGCUUAAAAAAAUGAGCAAGGUUUAAAAAUCACGCUCUGGUUUUCAGAGGUUUCUAUAUUGCCUUGUGAAACACAGACUAGUUGUUGAUGAUUAUGACAUCAUGACUAGUUCUGGGCAAUGAAAGCAAAAAUAGUAUUAUAAAAGAACUCACAGAAUUCAGAAUGCCAGAGAGAUCCUGCAGAUAAUCAAUUUCUCUGUUCCUGUCAAUUUAUAGUUAGAGACUCAGCCUUUAUUUAUCACUAAUGGAAGCAUAAUGAUGUUACAACCACUAUCUCUUGAUGAUUUCUUUUUCUUAUAGGUCCAUUUCUAGAGGUAUCUGUGUAUUCAUUCAUUUUCAAGCAUUUAUUGAGUAUUCACUACAUGUCAGAUGCUGAUACAUCACUGAGAAUGCACAGAUAAAUAGGAUCUGGUCCCUAUCCUCAGGAGCACAUACUCUGAUGAAAAGAUAGCAGGCAAACAUUGCUAAUAGAAUUACAAGUCAUGACACUUCACCAUGGUUUCAGUGUGAGCACGGUAAGGAGAGGUUACUUUAACUUUGCCUGGGGAAGGCAAAGAAGCCUUCAAAGAAGGGGUUACUUGUGAAUAAAAGCAUAAUAUCACUAGAACCAGAAACUUGGGGUACCUUCUAGGAAGUAAAAUAGGUGUAUUAAGAUGAAAUCAAACAUAGAAAUAUGAAAGGUCUAUGGGUAGAUAUUAUAUUUCUCAUCACUAUUCUAACCACAGAAAAAAAUCAGUGUGGAUAAAGACUCAUCCACCUAUAGAUGAAGACAGAUAUCUAAAUAUUUAUACCUACCAUAAAUAUGUUGCAUAUUACAUGAGUUAAUGUAAGCUAAGCUGUUGUAAAAAAUAGACCCCAAAUUUAUUGGCUUAAGGAACAGUUUAUUUCUAGUUAUGUGAUUCCAGAGUAGGUUUUCCAGGGCUGAAGGUAGCUCUUCUCUGCACAGAGAUUCAGGGAACAUGGCUACUUCUGUCUAUGACUCUAUCAUAUCCGAGGGUUUCUUGUCAACAAAAUAGCUAAGACUGAGUCAUCAUGUCCAGGUUCGAGACUAGAAGAGGAGGCAGAGGGUGAAGUAGACAUGCUGCUGCCUUAAAGCUUUCUGCUUUUGUUUGAAUGUGUCCUCCCCCAGAUUCAGAUGCUAAAACUUAGUUGCAAAUGUGUUGGUAUUAAGGAGUGGGGCUUUUAAAAGGUGGUCAAGUUAUGAGGGCAGAGUGCUUAUAAAUGGGAUUAGAACCCUUAUGAAAGGGCUCAAGGAAGUGGGCUUGUUCCCUUCUAUGUUUUCUGCCAUGUGAGGACACAAGGAUCCUCUGAAGGAUGCAGCAACAGGGUGCCAUCUUGGUAGCAGACGCAGCCCUCACUAGACACUGACUCUGCAAGCACCUUGGUAUUGAACUCCCCAGCCUCCAGAAUUGUGAGAAAUAGAUUCCGUUGUUUGUGAAUUACUCAGUUUUCAGUAUGCUCUGAUAGGAGCACAAAUUGACGACACCCCCUAAAGUAGUAUACAUCUUGUUUACUUAUGUUACCUUCAAUUGGCCAAAAUCAGUCUCAUGGUUGCAUUUAACCACAAAGGAGGUGGGAAAGGUAAUCUGGUCAUGUGCCCAGGAAUGAGAGAGUAGAUUUUGAUUGGCAGCAUGCAUUCUUUGUUACAGAAAUAAAAUUAAAAUUGAUAAAAAUUAAACAGUCUAGGUCAUUUUAAAUGGAUCUAAACUUAUAUAAAAUGUAUCAGGAUGAUAUAUAAAUUCCAUCACUUAGGCUAAAAUAUUACUUGCAUGAACAGAGAACAGUAAAGGCAAAUUAACAAUGUUCACGUGGGAAAAAGAUGUGGAGGUUUUGCUUGGAGACUAAUUCAACAUGUGCCCACAGUUUAAUGUGGUUCCUGAAAAACAAACCAACACACAAACAAAAAGUGAAUAUAAUUAUAGGCUGCAUCAAUACAAGUGUACAGGAAGAAAAUGAAUUCUGCUCUAGAAAGAUUUAAUUCAAGAUCUUUUAAUAGUGUUCUGGUUCUAUUUUUAAGAGGCACACAAGUAAGCAGAAAGGGUUUAGGAUGACAGGGUGACAGAGAUUUAGAAACCAUGUUAUGUGAGGACAAGUAGUAUAGAAACCAUGUUCUGUCCUACAGAAGAGGUAUCAUGAUGAUGGAAGGGUGUGUGUGUGUGUGUGUGUGUGUGUGUGUGAAUUGAAGUGGGAAAAGGUAUGGAUUAAAGUGGUCUUUAAAAUUCAAAGAAAUUUAAAGUUUAAAUGCUUAAAGGUUAGCCAUAUGGAAGAGAGAGUAGAUUCAUUCUCUUCUGCAUCACAGAACCAAGGAAGGAACAUUUUGGCUUAAUAUGAUGAAGAUCUGCAUAAUUGAAGCUAUCCAAGAAUGGUGGAAUGGGCUGCAUAGAGAAUUAUUGAGAUUCACAUCACUGAAAGUGCUUGAUUGGAAGCUGAAUGACCUCAUGUCAAACCUGCUGUAGAGAAACUUUCCUCUUAGAGUGGACUAGAUGAUGUCUAAAAUGUUUUCUAAUUUUAGGGGAACUGUUUUUACUCCCAACACUUCUGACACCAAAUAUGUGCUUUUUCUUUAAACCAACAAUCAAUUUUCCAACUUUCUGGACACCAACUGGAUGUCCAACAGCUAAAUUUAAUUACAACAUUAGUGGAGUUAGUGUCAGAUCCCACAGGUUAAGGGCUCUGUCUCACAAGACUGCCUCUACUUUAGAAGCCAUUUGCAAGCCUUGUACCUCCUGUACUUCUGAUCAAUUGGCUAUCAAUCAGGAGUUCCCAUGACCCCCUCCUUGGGUUUGACAAUUUCCUAGAGCUAGAAUGGCUCACAAAACUUAGUCAGACAGUUUUCUUAUACUUUCUGGUUUAUUAUAAAGGCUACAAGUCAGGAACAGCCAAAUGGAGGAGAUACAUAUGGCAAGGUAUGUGGGAAGGGGCAUGCCACUCUCCCAGCACCCUGGAAGCUCUCAGAGCCCCAUAGCUUAUCAUUGGCCAUUUGUGAUGAACUCAAUCUUCAGUCUCUCCUCUUCAUUGAUACUGUUGGGGUGGGACUAAAACUGCCAAUCCUCUAGUCAUGCUUUUGGUCUUUUUGGCAAUCAGGCCCAUCCAGGAGGUAUCUAGAGACCCCCAGGUACGGUGAUCUCAUUAGCAUACACAAAGAUGCUCAUCAUUCCAGAGAUUCCAAGGGUUUUAGAUGCUCCUGUGUCAGGAACUAGGGACUAACACCAAACAUUAUAACAAAAGAUGUCCCUGUCACCCCUAUCACUCAGGAAAAUAAAAAUGAUUUUAAGAGCUCUGUGCCAGGAACCCAGGAUGAAGACCAAAUAUACAUGUAUUUUAGUAUAUAACUAUAUCACACUAGGUUUCACUAAAUUUGACAUUAUUUCUAUGGCUCUUCUGGAUGAUUCAGGCCAAAAUAAUAUUCCUGUUGAAAUAUAUGAAUAAAAGCUACCACACUCAACUUGGUCAUGAGACACAGACAGUGUGGCCAGCAUCAUGGACACUCCCUUCCCCUCUGGAAAAGCACUUUUAUAAUUGUUUAACUAGCAAUUAUUUUCAUGACACACCGUUUUGCUUAAAAUCAAAUACUGAAAGACAAACUAUGAUUAUUCAGACUUGAGAAUUUGGCAGACAUUUUGAAAGUUAACAGUGUAAGUCUGUCACUUCAAGAGGACAAUGAACAGUAUUGUUCAUGAAAACAUUUGAGGUUUUAAGCCAAAAUUAGCAGUGUGGACUCUUGUAUUUGCCCCAUAAACAUGACAGCUUCCUGGUACUUAAAAUAAUUUUCUGAUGAGGCCAGUAAUGAUGUUAACAAGUGUGGUUUUUUUGUGUAUUACAUAAUGAAACAUGUCAACAUUUGAAUGAUCUGUGUAACAGAGCCAUUAUUUUCCAAAUGAGCAAUUCCAAAUGAGCAACAAUGUUGUAAAAAUUGUGCAUGAAUAAAAGAUCCAAAGUACGCAAUAAACCAGUAGAUUUUUUAACAUAACAAAGUAGAAGAAUUAUUGAUAUGGUUUCAGAUUUCACCCCACAAAUGACUUUAAAGAAAUUUAUAUACUUGUUGAGUUUUAGCAUAGCAUCAAAGAAGAAUAUCCACAAUUAUCUGAAAUUACUACUAAAAUAUUAAUCCCUUUUAACUACAUGUGUCUUUGAGACCAGAGUUUUUUCAUGUUCUGUACUCAAAUCACACAUUGCAAUAGAUUGAAUGCAGAAACAGAUUUAAGAAUCUAGCUGUUGCACUUUGGGAGGCCGAGGCGGGUGGAUCAUGAGGUCAAGAGCUCGAGACCAUCUUGGUCAACAUGGUGAGACCCCGUCUCUACUAAAAAUACAAAAAAUUAGCUGGGCAUGGUGGCGUGUGCCUGUAGUCCCAGCUACUCGGGAGGCUGAGGCAGGAGAAUUGCCUGAACCCAGGAGGCGGAGGUUGCGGUGAGCCGAG